rnacentral:tRNA from 1 species
GCUACUUUGGCAGAAGUGUAUGUGUUGGAUUUAGGAUCCUAUAAAAUAGAAUUAGUCUAUAGGUAGC